GGGGAAUAUUGGGCAAUGGGGGAAACCCUGACCCAGCAACGCCGCGUGAAGGAAGAAGGUUUUCGGAUUGUAAACUUCUGUCCUUGGUGAAGAGGAGAAGACGGUAGCCAAGGAGGAAGCCCCGGCUAACUACGUGCCAGCAGCCGCGGUAAUACGUAGGGGGCGAGCGUUGUCCGGAAUGAUUGGGCGUAAAGGGCGCGUAGGCGGCUUUGUAAGUCUGGAGUGAAAGUCCUCUUUUCAAGGGAGGAAUUGCUUUGGAAACUAUAGAGCUUGAGUGCAGGAGAGGUUAUCGGAAUUCCCGGUGUAGCGGUGAAAUGCGUAGAUAUCGGGAGGAACAUCGGUGGCGAAGGCGGGUAACUGGACUGCAACUGACGCUGAGGCGCGAAAGUGUGGGGAGCAAACA
rnacentral:rRNA from 1 species